rnacentral:sRNA from 1 species
CCUGAUCGGAGCUGAUGGAAUUUCAGAUCAUUCCCGGGAAGGUGCGCCCACUCACGCCCGCCUCGCCGAGAAC